UACGUAGGGGGCUAGCGUUGCUCGGAAUCACUGGGCGUAAAGGGUGCGUAGGCGGGUCUUUAAGUCAGGGGUGAAAUCCUGGAGCUCAACUCCAGAACUGCCCUUGAUACUGGAAAGCUUGAGUUCGGGAGAGGUGAGUGGAACUGCGAGUGUAGAGGUGAAAUUCGUAGAUAUUCGCAAGAACACCAGUGGCGAAGGCGGCUCACUGGCCCGAUACUGACGCUGAGGUGCGAAAGCGUGGGGAGCAAACAGG
rnacentral:rRNA from 1 species